rnacentral:lncRNA from 10 species
CUUUGGGGGUCUGAGGUGGGCAGAUCACCUGAGGUCAGGAGUUUGAGACCAGCUUGGCUAAUGUGGCAAAACCCUGUCUUUACUGAAAAUACAAAAAUUAGCCAGGCAUGGUGGCAAACACCUGUAAUCCCAGCUACUUGGGAGGCUGAGGCAUGAGAAUUGCUUGAACGUGGGAGGCAGAGGUUGCAGUGAGCUGAGAUCAUGCCACAGCACUCCUGCCUGGGUGAUAGAGGGAGACUGUCUGUCAAAAAUUGUAUAAAUGUAGAAGAGAAGCAAUAACAAGAACAAAUCAGCUUUUUUACCCUAACAUCUAUAUGUGAUCCAUUGUUAAUAUUUUAAUGUUUCCUUUCAUACACACAAUACAUACACACAUAUAUAUGUAUAUUAUGCAUAUGUAGUGCUGAGCUCACUACAGUUGUACACAGCAGCCAAGGAGCAUUUUUCAAGGUUAAACAAUUCAACUGUCUGAAUAUUAACUUACUUAGGACGUUUGUCUAGGGAGAUGUUGAUGUGUGGAUGAGUUUAAUCUUAUUAAUGCUCCACAUGGGUAUUCUAAGGCUGAGUCAAGGCAUUUUUCUAACAUAACAUGACAGCAUUAAAUGAUCCAUUUCUAGUGUGUUUUUAUUCCACACCACACAUUUGUAGACCUAGGACUACAAACAUUAUCUAUGUCAUUAUAAUCACAUUUUUUGGUCCUUUCUAACUCAUCUAUAACGGAAUACUACAGACUGGGUCAUUUAUAAAAAACAAACGUUUAUGUGGCUCACAGUUCUGGAGGCUGGGAAGUCCAAGGGCAUGGCACUGGCAUCCAGCAAGGGUCAUCCCAUGGCAGAAGUAUGGAAGGCAGAAGUAAGUCCAUGAGUCAGAGAGAAACAUUGAUCUGAACUAAUCCUUUUUAUCAAGAACACACUCCUUCAAUAACUAACCUAUUCCUGUGAUAACAGCAGUAAUCUCUUCAAGAGGGUAGAGCCCUCAUGGCCUAAUCACCUCUUAAAUGCCCCACCUCUUAAUACUGUUACAAUGACAAUUAAAUUUCAGCAUGAGUUUGGGUGGAACA